CGGCGGACGGGUGAGUAACACGUGGAUAACCUACCUAUAAGACUGGGAUAACUUCGGGAAACCGGAGCUAAUACCGGAUAAUAUAUUGAACCGCAUGGUUCAAUAGUGAAAGACGGUUUUGCUGUCACUUAUAGAUGGAUCCGCGCCGCAUUAGCUAGUUGGUAAGGUAACGGCUUACCAAGGCGACGAUGCGUAGCCGAACUGAGAGGGUUAUCGGCCACACUUGAACUGAGACACGGUCCAG
rnacentral:rRNA from 1 species